UACGGGGGGGGCAAGCGUUGUUCGGAAUUACUGGGCGUAAAGGGCUCGUAGGUGGCCAACUAAGUCAGACGUGAAAUCCCGAGGCUCAACCUCGGGUCUGCAUCCGAUACUGCCCGGCUAGAGGUAGGUAGGGGAGAUCGGAAUUCCUGGUGUAGCGGUGAAAUGCGCAGAUAUCAGGAGGAACACCGGUGGCGAAGGCGGAUCUCUGGGCCUUACCUGACGCUCAGGCGCGAAAGCUAGGGGAGCGAACUGG
rnacentral:rRNA from 1 species